rnacentral:rRNA from 1 species
UAGCGGAGGGUGCGAGCGUUGUCCGGAAUCACUGGGGCGUAAAGGGCGCGUAGGCGGCUCAUGAAGGCUGGUGGUGAAAGUCCGGGGCUCAACUCCGGGAUCUGCGGUGGGUACGGGCAGACGUAGAGUUCGGGUAGGGGAGUCUGGAAUUCCUGGUGUAGCGGUGAAAUGCGCAGAUAUCAGGAGGAACACCGGUGGCGAAGGCGGGACUCUGGGCCGAUACUGACGCUGGAGGAGCGAAAGCGUGGGGAGCAAACAGG